ACAAGCGGUGGAGCAUGUGGUUUAAUUCGAUGAUACGCGAGGAACCUUACCUGGGCUCAAAUGUAUGUUGACGUAUUCUGAAAGGGAUACUUCUUCGGACAAUAUACAAGGUGCUGCAUGGUUGUCGUCAGCUCGUGCCGUGAGGUGUCGGGUUAAGUCCCAUAACGAGCGCAACCCCUAUCAUUAGUUGCCAUCGGGUAAUGCCGGGCACUCUGGAAGGACUGCCAUCGACAAGAUGGAGGAAGGUGGGGAUGACGUCAAGUCAUCAUGGCCCUUAUGUCCAGGGCGACACACGUGCUACAAUGGCCGGCACAACGGGAAGCGAGUUCGCGAGGACGAGCGGAUCCCUCAAAGCCGGUCGCAGUUCGGAUUGAAGUCUGCAACUCGACUUCAUGAAGCUGGAAUCGCUAGUAAUCGUGGAUCAGCCAAGCCGCGGUGAAUACGUUCCCGGGCCUU
rnacentral:rRNA from 1 species